CAAAGCAUGCUAUUAUUGCUUCUCGUUUCUUUCUCGCCUGUUCUCGCUGGACUCCCUCUGCACCAGGGCAGAGAGUAAGGAGGUCAGCAGAACCAAGGAGGGUGGGGACUCAGACAUUCCCAGUUCCACUGGGAGCUUUUAUGCAGCAGGAAGCUGGAAGCCAGGAGGAGUGUUUGUAAGAAGCAGGUGACCUGACAUAGAAAUCCCCAGGUGCAGCGAUCCUGGCACACACAGUAUAGCUGCAGCCCAGGAAGAAAGGCUGCGCAGCCCACUGCUUAAAGCCCCCAAGCUGGCUCCCGCUGGUUUAAUUUCACGUAGCGACAUUAUUGAUACUUGGGUGACCUUGGGACAAAUCCCUUUACCCGUCUACACCUCCAUCUUCCCAUCGGCAAAAGGUGAUGAUAACUCUUCCAUCGGUUACUGUGAAGAUGCAACGAACACACACGAAGAGAGCAAAAGAGCCAUGACCCAUAACUGAACCUCUCCGUUCCUCUGGCCACCCUCCCGCCCCGUGCCCUGUGUUAGCAACCUCAGGUUCUGCUCUUGGGGCAGAGGCAGACACAGCCUGUUUCCCUGGGAGCCAUCACCUUGGCCUCCCAUUCCCUGGAGCCCCAGGCAAUGACACUUUCGUCCCAUAGGACUUAAGCAGAGCUCAGCAGUCCCUAGCAGGGUCCUCUCUGCUGCCAGACAGGAGGUACCCUUGUCCCCCCUGCCUGCUUGGGCCUGGGCAGCUCCUGUGUCCCAAUCCCUCUGCUGCCAGCGCCUGCCAUUUGGCUGCAGCUCCUGAACUCAUGAAUGCCGCGUUUUGGUUUUGCUGCGAGAAGGAAAAAUAAAAGGGAGGGUGUGGGGAGGGACAGGGAGAGGGAGGAGGAGGGAAAAACCCUUUAGCUGCCUGUGCUGGCCAGUUCCAGGAAUGUGUGCUGGGACAUCGGUGCCAAAGCAGUGACCCGGGCGGCCGGGCCGGGCCGGGAGAAGAGGGAGGCUGGCUCCAGGGCGAGAGCUUGCCUCCUCCCACAGCUGCCGCUGCUGACUCAUCGCGGCUCCAGCUGGCAGAAGCCUUUUCUGGGGAUGGCUGUUGCUAAGAUUCCUCGGAGAUGACUGAUUGCUUCUCCUUGAGCUUGCUGAAAACAUGUUUGUAGACUGCACACAAACACGCAUACGCUCUUGUGGCUCGCACGCCUAGCCCGAUACCUGCACAUGUGUGUUUGUGUGCGUGUGCACGGAGCACCGACACAGGCGUCCUGUUCCUAUCACCUUCAUGACACUUAGGAACUAGUACAUGCACGUAUGUAUGGACCAGCACCUCCCCCGACCCCCCUAAAGGGGCCAAGAGAUGCCAGGUUGUCCCGGGCUGAGGACCUCAGGCAGAGGGGAGCUGCCAGUGUCUGGGCCCGCUUUCCCCCGGAGUUUUCAGGUUGCCUCGAUGCAUUCUUGGCCUGCGUUUCUCCUCUCCCCCGGUUUCCUUCAUUCUGCUAUUGUGAUCUAAUCUUCCCUUCUCCCUUGGCCUGCCAGAUUUUUGAUGUCUGCUGCUCCAGGCACUCAGCUGGGAGCUAGAAUCGUUUAGAGCUGGAUUCCUGGCCUGGAUCGGAUGCCCCCAGGGCACUCCCAGGGAGCCUCAGUGCCUCCGUUUUCCCUUGAGAGAAGGAACUGCUGUGAGGGCAGAUGGAAAAUGCUGGGCCAUUCUCGGGCUCUGCUGCUGCCAGGAUUCAGGAAGUGUCUGUUUCUCCUCUGUGCUGGGCCCAGAGCCUUGGUUGGGGGUGAGCCUGAGUGCUCAGUGCUCAGCAGGCAGCCCUGGAUGCAGCCUCCACGGCCUGGUUGCCAGUGCUGUGUGUGACCUUGGUCACAUUGGACUCUUGCUGCCUUGGUUUCCCCACCUGCUGGGCUGAAAUUAGACUCCUUGCUGAGUCCGCCAGGAUUUUGAUGCGACAGGGCUUGGCAGGCACUUGGGCACCAGGCAAGGUUGUUUGUCAUGGGUUCUUGAGGAGGUGGAGGGGCAGGCGGGGCCAGCGCCAGCACGGGGCCCACACUACUCCUCUUACCAGCUCUGCUGGCUCAGCCUCGAGUGUGGCUGCUUUAGAGGGACCCACCUCGGGGGAUCCCAGAAGGGCUCUCGGCUGUGAUUCAAUGACUGUUGCUAAGGAAGGCUUGGUACCUGGCCUCGCGGGAUGAGCUGGAUGCAGCAGGCUCGGCAAGGCUCCUAUCAGCUACAAGAAAAACAUCUGUCUGUGCUCAGGGUCCUCAUUCCUAAAAUAAAGACAAGCUCGGCUCCAUG